UUUUUUGAACUAUUUACCUAUCUAGCCUCUUUACAAAAAAAUAUUUCCUAUCUAGCCUCCUUUUGAAAAAUAUUCCCCAUCUAGCCUUAUUUUCAAAGAUUAGAGAAAAAAAGAGAAAUUAAUUUCUUUAAUAUAUAUUAAGGGGUUAAGUGAAGGAGAUUAUCUUUUUCUCUCUCAUCUCCUAUUAAUUUUUAUAUCAAAAUAAUCUUGAUCCCAUUCGGCCUAUAAAUUUCAUGUUUUAAUGUAUUAAAACCUAAAAUACGAGAAAUUCAAAUAGUUUUUGGAUCAAGAUCAUUAUAAUCAACUCCUUCCGAACCAUGCAUAAUAUUUUCAUCAAAAUAUAAAAAGAUUAAAAUUGGUUGCUGCGCCAUGUGAAAAUUUUCUAUUUUGAAAUAAAUUGAUAUGAGAUAAAUUAUACACAAAAAUUAGGGAGUGAGAAGGGAUCUCGGGAAAGGAGAGAGAAAAAGGUAAUCUCCCCCACUUAACCCUUUAAUAUAUAUUAAAGGUAUUAAUUUCUCUUUUUUUCUUUAAUCUUUGAAAAUGAGGCUAAAUGCGGAAUAUUUUUCAAAAGAAGGCUAGAUAGGAAAUAUUUUUUUGUAAAGAGGCUAGAUAGGUAAAUAGUUCCAAUUUUUUAAAUAUAGAAUAUUAUAUUACUAUUUUCUAGCUGUUUAAGUUUUUAGUGCCAGCCAAUUUUGUAUAGUAUAAAAAAAUACGAUAAUUAUUUUGGAGCCUAAAUACUUAUAUAAUUUAGAAUAUAAAUAG
rnacentral:lncRNA from 1 species